UACAGAGGUCCCGAGCGUUUGUUCGGAUUCACUGGGCGUAAAGGGUGCGUAGGCGGUUCUGAAAGUCUGAUGUGAAAUCUCCAGGCCCAACCUGGAAACGGCAUUAGAAACUACAGGGCUAGAGGCUUGGAGGGGGAACUGGAAUGCUCGGUGUAGCAGUGAAAUGCGUAGAGAUCGAGCGGAACACCAGUGGCGAAGGCGAGUUCCUGGACAAGUCCUGACGCUGAGGCACGAA
rnacentral:rRNA from 1 species